rnacentral:snRNA from 1 species
AUGCUCACUUUGGCAGCACAUAUACUAAAAUUGAAAUGAUACAGAGAAGGUUAGCAUGGCCCCUGCACAAGAAUGACAUGCAAAUUCAUGAAGUGUUCCAUGUUUUU